rnacentral:misc_RNA from 1 species
CUCCCUCGGCUAGCGUCUUGUACCCGAGCAUCGUGCGAUUUUUAUAGCGUUUUCUCCUCUGCAGUUGUAUCAGCAGCUUGUUGCCGUCCCUCUUGAGGAAAUGCGGAUACUGAAGCGCGAAUUGCAGUUCUAGCUCGGUGUCCAGCAUGCCACCGGUUGGGAUGGCCAUCUCGUUGGAGCGCAACGUCCUCUUCGAGCUCUGCAUCUUCACCGCGAUGCUAAUCGACGUUAAAUCAGAGCCUAAUGGCCGUAAAAUCACCAGCCUCGUCAAGGUCAACGAGCAUAGCCUAAACAAAUUAUAGGCAGCGUCACAACUGAUGUGAUUAUCAGAAUUUUAAUUUAAUUUAAUUAUCAGAAACUCCAAAAGUGUGAAAAUUGAACAAUUUCCC